CUUCCCCACCUCUUAUCCUUCACCGUCUCCCCACCACUACCCAUUCAUCACAACUCUAUCUCUCUCUUCCUCUCAGGUCUCAGACUCCCCCGCUCUUCUCAGCCCAUCCUUGUCGGAUCGGUCGAUGAAGUGCCCGACGAUCCGCUCGAGCACGGCAUGCUCUCGGACCGACCCAGUGCUCGGCGCCGACGGAGAAGAACGUGGAGGCAUGGGACUCGUUUCCAUCGGAUCGACGGCCUUGGCAAUCACGCGUCGGAACCGCUGCGCCCGGUGCCUUCCUCUCCGUCUCGUAGGGCGCUUGGGGCCUCCGCUCGUUCGCGGCUGCACUGCGCCCUACCCUGCCUAGGUGCCGGAAGGGCGUGUUGUGGUUGCCGCCGUUAGUUGCUGCACCGAGAGGUUUCCGUCACCUGCUACGGCCAGAUCUAGUCGAACAUGUCCUAUGGGUUAUCCACCGCUUCACUCUGCUUCACGUGCACAUGGGCGGAGGAGGCGACGACCCGACCUGCCUAGUAGCUAAACAAUGUCCCCCUGCCCUGCUCUUCUCCAGCAACAGUCUCCCUUAUGUGCUGAAAAUGAUACACAUGACGGGAAGGGAAAGUAAGAAGAAAGGAUAUAUCAAAGGAGUUGUAUGAUAUUUUCUACCAGGAUAUAUCCAAGGCAUUGAUAGUGUAAAUUCUGCUCGGAAGGAACGUUGAUUGAUGUUAGUAGCUACACUUGUCUGCAAUGAUACGACACACAAGAGCAAUAAGAAGGAUCUGAUGAUGUACUUAUGGGCUGCCAAGCGGAACCACGUAUAGCCGUGUCUCUUUUGCUGCAUCAAGGUCAAAGGAAGAAGUCGAACCUAUAGAGUUGCAUGGAAGAAUUACAAAUGCGUGUGGCCGACUGGUUCAAGGGACGUGCAGGGCGGGCGCGGCCGCGCGGGUGCAGGGGUAGGCGGCUGGGCACUGGCGAUCUCGCCGACAAAUGCCACGCUGCGAGCGCGCAGGGUGAUGGACGUUCUGUCGCCUCGCCUCCCUGCAGUGGCGAUCUCGCGGACGAAUACCAUGCUGCGAGGGCAGGGUCGCAUAUGGAUUCCAUGCUGGGAGCGGCAAAAUUGAGGAUGGCGAUGGCGAUCGUGCAACGGAGCGGUGCAGUGUCGUGAGGUCGGCGUGCACGAGAGCGGUUUCGUUCACUUUCCUUAGUUUGCGAUCUGAAUUACGUGAUUGUAGGGGACGUGGGACAGGUAGUUAGAAUAUUCUUGUGUGGAUGGAGUAUGGUCAGUCAUUAAAAACUGCUAAGUCCACACCAUAGAGCUAUUAGAUCAAUGAUGACGGUUAGAUUCAGAUUUAUGUGAGUAAUCCUGUGGUGUUGGUGGGUUGUGGGCCAAUUUGUUGGGUACACAUAAGGAAGUUCUUGUUUACUUGUUUAAUAGUAGUAUAGACUGUUUUAGAACUUACCAGAUUUGGAAAUAGUCGAAAUUUGGACCUACCAGAUUUGGUAGUGGCCCAAAAGGGCAUUUUUUAAUUGAUGAAUGACUUGGGAGUA